AUUGAACGCUGGCGGCAUGCCUUACACAUGCAAGUCGAACGGCAGCACGGGGCAACCUGGUGGCGAGUGGCGAACGGGUGAGUAAUGCAUCGGAACGUACCUUUCAGUGGGGGAUAACGUAGCGAAAGUUACGCUAAUACCGCAUAUUCUGUGAGCAGGAAAGCAGGGGAUCGCAAGACCUUGCGCUGAUUGAGCGGCCGAUGUCAGAUUAGCUAGUUGGUGAGGUAAAGGCUCACCAAGGCGACGAUCUGUAGCGGGUCUGAGAGGAUGAUCCGCCACUCUGGAACUGAGACCCCGUCAAGACUCCUCCGGGAUGCAGCAGUGGGGAAUUUUGGACAAUGGGGGCAACCCUGAUCCAGCCAUGCCGCGUGAGUGAAGAAGGCCUUCCGGUUGUAAAGCUCUUUCGGCCGGGAAGAAAUCGCACGGGCUAAUACCCUGUGUGGAUGACGGUACCGGAAUAAGAAGCACCGGCUAACUACGUGCCAGCCGCCGCCGUAAUAC
rnacentral:rRNA from 1 species